rnacentral:lncRNA from 1 species
AAUAGUAUGAAACUCGUUUGGUUGGGGGAUAAAGGAGGGGAUAAGGAGUUAUCCCUCCCUUAUACCCAAACAAAAAAAAGGGGUCCCACCCUUAACGAGUUAUUUCAGGAUAGCACGUAUAUUGACUUGCCAUAAUGCGAAACUAUUGGUCCUGUCAAACUUCUGAAUCUUGAAUUUCGUCGUCAUCUUAAUCCUCAAAGAAAAUAGAAAGGCUUUGAUACUAGUUUGUUAAAAUCGAAACGACGAAAAAUAAAUACAGAAAAUAACUUAAUGCAGAAAAAAAAAGAUAAAAAAAAAAACACACCGACAUUUACGUGGUUUGACCAACGGUCUACGUCUACGGACGGAGACGGAGCUAAUAAUUUAUUAAUGUCAAAAAAAAAUAGAGUACAAAAAAGAUCGCUCAAAGACUAAAACUUAAUUAGUUGGAUCGAAAACGCCGCAACAAAACAACUCCAAAAAAUGGCCUCACUCAAUCCGUACGGACCAACAAAUGUCUUAAUUAGUGCAUACGGCUCCUCCUGCCGGUUGGCUUAAUUAAUUAGAGAAUGCCUCCAGUUAGAACAAGGCUCUCCCGCAAUGAAUGCCCUGCCGGUUCUGCAUGACCACCAGCACCAAAAGGACAGUAGGCUUUGGACAUGAAUUUUGAAAACUUAAUUUGGCAUGGCUUCUCAGUUUGGUCGCACCGGCUUCAUUAAUUUGGCCGCAUAUAUAUAGGAUGUUGCUUCAAAUUAGAGCCUAAUUAGAAUUCUAGUCUAAUUAGAUUUCUAAAUAUAAAUUUAAUCUAAUUUAAUUUGAAAUUAGAUUUCGACUCAUAAUCCAUAUAUACCAAAUUAUAUCAAAUCCUAAUUAAAUUAGGAUUUAAUUCUAAUUUAGAUAACGAUAAAUCUAAACCAAAUAUAACAAAAAUUUUAUUGGUUUUGUAUUUUUGCAAAAUCGCGCCGAUUUUUUAAAUUUUGUAGAUUUGAUUUAGAUUUUAAUAAUAUGAUCAAAUUACCCUUAUUGCUCUCUUUCCUUUCCUUUUCUCAUUCCUCUUAUCUCCUUUGACGCUAUUGCUGUGGUCACCCCCAAACCUUUCUUUAAUAUAGUAGAAAGAAUAGAAAUAGAUGUUUCUUAGACUUUCUUGAGUUUUGUCAUCAUUAUCAUCAUCUCCGACAUUGGAACGUCCUACUUAUUGGAAGUGUGAUUUUCUGUUCUUCAUUCACAUUUUGAUAACUUUCUCUUUAACUUGAUGCAUAAUUACUUCAUUGCCAAAAAUUUUUUAACUGCAUCAUUAUUGCGAACUUUCUCGUCGAUCUGAGUUAUAACUUUUUAUUGAUCAACAUAUUUUCACAAAUUUGAUCUUCUUCAUGAUUUUGGUUAGAUUCUUCUUUCCAAAUUUCUUUAUCUUCACCAUUGGGUUGAAUUUCUUCUUCUUGAAUGUAAUUCUAUUCCUGCAAAUAUUCUCCUCUAAUUUUUGCUAGCAUUCUCCAUGCUUUAUGUGCUGUAUGAAAUAUUCUCAACCAAUAGCAAAUCCACAGCUUAAAAAAAAUAUAUGAUAGAACUUUUCUGUCUUCUUUUGAAAUUCUUCUUUACCAAAUUCUUUUUCAUAAUUUCUAUUCUCCACUAUAUCCCACAAAUCUUGGGAUUCUAAAAAAUAUCGAAUGACCAUUUUCAUUGUUUGAAGUUCAUUCUAUCGAACUUUGGUAAGCCAGGUUGAAUAAACCAAUCUAAAUCCACAACAAAACUUGAAAAUCCAAAAAUUAAGUUUCAAACAUGUAGCUUUUUGAUAUAUUGACCUUCUAUCGAGAUAUGUCCAAGUUUUCCAUACUUUGGCUUGCUUGCCUAUCCCUCCAAGCCAUCUGAUCAAGUCUUCAUUGAUCUCUUCACGAGCUCUCCUUGCUCUCUUUUUCUCAAGAGUCACAACCACCUUCUCUUGUGUGUUGUGUGGAGGCCAACUUCUUCGAAGUGAUUCCUUGCUUUGGUUUUACCUGAACGUCAUCUUCGUCGAUUUGCUACAAGUGGCUUGAUUUUGACAUAGUAAUCUGGUAUAUUGGUUCUGUAUUCUUUCCAAAUUUGAUGCUGUUUGGCUUAAAAGUCGUUUGUUACUUUUUGGCUCUAAUAUCAAUUUUUGGAAACGUGAUUUUCUUUUCAUCAUCCACAUUCUGAUAUAUAAAAAUUUCUUCAGUAACAUUCGGAAAAAGUCAACUUCCUCUUUGAUUUGAUGUGUAAUUACUUCAUCGACGGAAAAUUCUUUAACUACAUCAUUAUUGUGAACUUUCUCAUCGAUUUGACUUGUACCUUUUUGCUGAUCAACAUAUUCUUCACGAAUAUGAUCUUCUUCAUAAUUUUGAUUAAAUUCUUCUUUCCAAAUUUCUUUAUCUUCGCCAUUGGGUUGAAUUUCAAACGUUGGAAAAUUUUAAAGAUAAAGAAAGAAAAUAGCAAACGAAAAUAUAAAAUUAAAAAUGUAAAGUUUUGGUACGAUGCAAGGUGCACACAUUGAAACCAGUGAAUCUAAAAUAUCAAAUCCAAAUAUUUGCAGGAACCUGCAGAUCCCUAAGGUUGAUGUGGAUAAUCAUGACUAUAGGUGGCAAAGAUUUCGUGCAUGGCAAUAUCAUUGGACAGGCGUCAUGCUGCACAACUCGAACAUGAAGACAACUACAGUGUCAGAGAUUGCAAAAUCAAAGUGCGCGUUUCACGAAAUUUACGGUUUGAAAAUAAAGUUUGGAUUAAGGGAGGAUGUUAGAAUAAUAAUCCAAACUUAAUCUAUUAGUUAGAGAUAGGGUGUACCCAAAUUAUACAUUGAUUAUAUUUAAAAGUUUAUGUACUUAGAGUAGAAUUUGUAAUUAUCUAAAAUGAAAGUUAGAUUUAUCAUCUGUUAUGACUUGAUAUCUAUAUAUAGUUAGGCAUGGAUUAAUUAAGAUGAAUAAGCCACAGUAGACAUGACUGCAUAAAGACGAGUGUGUCGCCCAUCGUGUAAUCAAAUGCUUUUUAUUAAUAAAGUAUUAGUUUAGUUUUCUUUUUCCUCCCCCAAUAUCUUUUCUCUAUAUUAUAUUUUGUUCUAUUUUACAUCUUGGGUUAACAAUCGGUAUUAGCAUAAGUGCUAGUUUCAACAAUUGGUAUCAGAAAAAAUCACGCUUCCAACACUACUCUAAUAUAAGCCAAUAUAAGAUUUAUUUCUGCAAUUUUUAUAUUAUACAUUAUUUCUACAAAUAUUAAUUUCUACUCCUUCAGUUGCCGUAUCUUUUUCAUAAAUUUCUGAGAAAAUGUCCGUGGAAAAGACAUCCCCCACAAUGAUUGUACUAUUUUUGUUGGUUUAGCAUUAUGAUGAAUGUACAUUUUGCUAUACCUUUUAUUUGUUCUAUAUACUCUCAUACCUGAUUAGUUGUGGACUCUAGGUUUGUUGUAUGCUACGGGUGUGCGGGGUGUUUCUCGUGUAUUCGGUGGGUUUGAUUAUGCGCUUGGAGGCUUCUGCUGUAAUUUUGGGGCAUGAGAAGUGAUCAUUACCCUCCUCCUACUUCUCUGUCUUUAUUCCGGCGAAGCUCCGAGCAGUGCUGAAUAUUGAUUUUUUUGGUUGUUUUAAAAAAAAAAUUUGUGCUGAAUCUAUAAAAACAAAAAAAAAUAGUCUAUUUUUGCAAAUCCGUAAAACAAAGUGAAUUUUUUAUGCAAAAUGGCUAUUUUAUAUUUAUUCCAAAAUUUAAAUUAAACAUAAAAGACAAAUAAAGUUAUGAAUCUCCUAAAUUUAGGAUUAUAUUACAUAGAUUUUAUAUAUCCAAAUAUUUAUGAUUUUUAUGUGAUUAAUUUUUUGUAAAAUGAUACGUAACAUUAGCCUCCAUAAAAAAUGUAUUAUAAUAAUUUUAUCAAUAUGUGCUGCGAGUCGAUUUUCUUGACUGUUGACUCGGUCAAACGUACUCCCUCGGGAAACAUGCGAGGAGUACAGGGCUACUGAUAAUGACCCUCAAAAUUUGCAUCUGCAAACGAAUCAAGCGAUUCGGCUGAUGAGGAAUCGAAUCAACUAAGUUCAAAGACUACAUAGUGAAUUCGGUUUGGUUGAAGAGUCGAAUGAUACUUAUAUAUAUUGCCGAAAUGGAGAAAAUGUGGAUAGAAAGAGGUACGCCGCUGUGGCGCUUGGUCUUACAAGAAUUACUAACUUAAAACUACUCAUAGAAAAGCAGAAAAUGCGAAGAAAAUGAGAAAUUACAAGUAGACUACUAGAAAGCGAAAAAUGUAGAAAAUUAAGUUGGUCUUCUUGUUCUGGGGAAAAGACCUCUCUUAUAGUCGUCUCUUAUCUAUUUAUAAUUUUGCCUGUUGUUAUUAAGUUUUUCCCUAUGAUUGGCCACAUUCCUUUUUGUAAGCCACUAUCGGCCGAUCCUAACCACAUAAGUCUUAACUGCUUUUUGAUUUUAUGUGCAUUCUUCUUUGCUUCAGGCACACCACAUGUCACCUAUUCCUAGUUUCAAGAGCGACUCUCGCGGUAUAUCCUGGUUCACCAUGUGCCGCAAUUUUAUCGUGCCAACAAUAUAGUUGGAUGAUUUCUGAAUUAAGGGGCUGUUUGGAUCCCUGUAAAACUUUUCUGAAUUGAGGGGCUGUUUGGAUGAUUUUUGUAAAUUUUUUUUCCUACAUUUGGUUGUCCGUAAAAUUUUUUUUGAAAAAGUUAUUUUACAGAUUUUGGAAAAAAAUAUGCGUUUUCGUUUUCCGCGUGCCGUCCGCGGAAAACGAAAACAAGGAGGGAGAUGGCACGGCGUUGGGGAGCGGAUGGGUCAGCAGACACGCGCGCUUCGGCCUCGUGGACCGCAUGAGAGGGAUGUAGUAACCCUGCAAUAUAGUAGUUGAGGCUUGUCGACAGCUCUGGUGAGUGUCGGGACAAGCCCGGAUCGCGUUGGCGCGAAAUGGACGCCAAACGGACUCUGUGGGAACGCGAGCGCAGCUGGUAUCAUGAAAAUCCGCGAAAUAGUAGAUUUUCUGCCACUUGUACCGGUACAAAUUUUGGAAUGUACCGGUAUAAUUGCUACGCAGACUGCUCUCGGGUUGCCCAUUUGUACCGGUACAAACGUGCGUGUAUCGGUACACUUUGGUAGGUGAGAGGGUAAUUCAGUCUUUUUCACCUCGGUUGUAUUGCCAUCCCUUCUCCCUCUCUAUGUAGGAUUGAGAGAACAGAGAGGAGAGGAUUUUUACUCUCUCUCUCUCUCUUCUCCUUGUGCUGGACGUGGGUAGGGGAGGAGCUUGGGUGGAGUUCGGGUGUCGUCGACGUCGCGCCGCGGUGCCGUUCGAGUGUGUAUUCGUCGUCAUGGUGCUGCGAGGAGGCUGGAUGAGCGUGGAUUUUCGCCGUCGUCGACGUUUUGCCGGUUCUAGAGGGGUUUUCGAGGUGAGUGAUCCAUCGAAAUCACUUUAUUUACUUCAAGCUCCAUCAAUUUCGAGCUAGGGUGCUGUUCCUGUAGAAUUCCAGCGUCGACUGUCGGCGUUUCGGCUCGUGUGCGACGUAGGAGCAUCGGAUUUCUACGAAACUUGGUUUGUUGGAUUCUAGACUUCGAGAGGAAUCCACGAAGCCCAAGAUUGCUGAAUUUGGUAAAUGUUAGCUUGGUCGAACUCCUACUCUUCUCUGCUGCUGUUGCUUGGACAGAAUCUCGAGCUUUGAGUCUUCUUUUAUGCUAACUUUGGAGGAAUUGGAAUGUUUACACCAGGGAUGCAUACUCCAACCUAGAUUACUAGAUUUGGAACCUUGCUUCACUAGGAUUGAGGUUUGGAAGGUGAAGUUUCGCUUUGUAAUUAAGGAUUUUUAGCUUAAGUGUUGAUUUUGGGAGGCUAUAAUGCAAGUUUAGUGUUAUUGUGUUUCAGAUCAUUAGAGAUGUGCGGUUGUUGGUUUAGAGUGGACUCGAUUGAGUUUCCUGGUGGUUCGACUUCCUCGCUGUCAGCGUUUAGCUUGAGAGGUGGGUUUAUCAUCGGAUUCUUACUCCUAGAGUCCCGUUGGUCGACAUGUAUAAUUAGUGUGUAUAUGUUACUAUUGUUUUAGCUUAGAUUCAUAAUUAUGCAUGUUUUAGACAUAUGAACUGAAUUUGGAGCAUGAUAUUAAUUGUUAAUAAUUAUACAUGUUGGACUUAGAUUUGACAUAGGAGAAAAAUCAGCGUUCGGGACCUGUCAUAUGUCUAAACUACCUGAGUUAGCUCUAGGAGCCGUUGUAUUUUUGUAUCACCGCAGUAUCCUUGUGGUGAGUACCCCAGGUAGUUCAGAUUACUGUUACGCUCGUGCUGGGAUGCGAGCCUUUUUUUUUUUUUUUUUUGAGAGAUAAGUAGCACACUACCCGCUUCGUUUAUUUCAUUUAGAAAUAAACUUAGCUGAAAAUGUGAAUCAACUAGGAUUCGAACUUGAGUCUCGGGUACCAACCACCAAGCCCUUUGCCACUUGCUUACAGUAGUGUUUACUUUGUUCCGGACUAGUGGGUGCCGUAGUAGUUGACGGGGGACCCAGAUUUGUCGUUUUGAUAUCAGAUUGUGCCGAGGGCACGUGACUAGUUGAUUGGUAGUCCAGUUGGACCUGUUUUCUUGACUUUAGCCUGUAAGAGCCUGAUUGAGCUCGGUAGAGAUACGUUUGCAUACUCGGUUGGGUCGCGCCCACGAGUGCCGCUUCGGAGUUAGGCUUUGUGCGUUCGCGUUGGUGUCGUUACGUCCUAUUUGGACUUGCUCUCCACGGACUACUUAGUGGUAGAGGUAGCUUAGCUUGGGCAGGCGGGACGGGUGUGUUCACAGUCCCUAGUGAGAUUGGGUCUGGAUUUACAGUUUCUGCAGAGGAUAGUGUAGGGACAUUUUAGCUGUAGAUUUAUUCCAGCUCGUAUUUCUAUUCUUUACUCUCUUCUGUAGACUUAGUGGGUGAACCGAUGAUGUUGCGGGCGGCACCCACUGAGGACUACUUGUUUUCAUAGUAGUUCUCAAGCCCAGUUGUUUCUUUUCGUUUUGUAGAGCCUUCGGUGCCGGCUGCUGCAUCCUCUGAGGUUGAUCGUGGCAAGGGCGUCGCGAGUUAGAGCCCUACUAGACAAGCCAGAGCUAGUGGAGUACCAGUUACAGGUAGUUGUAGUUUUUGAGUUCUUAUACAUACUGUUAUUACUAUUUCUCGCGAGGCGAGCUUUUGUGUACAGAUGUUGUAUGUAUAGUGAACUUUUAUUUGCUACCAGGUUAUGUUUUGUUCCUUACAGCUUUAUACUACUGGUUGUAGUAUUGUAUUUUUACAGGUACAGCUAUCGCUUCGUAUACAGGAAAAAUUUCUUUGUAUACGGCGGAUUUGUCAGCGUGCCCGAGGAACGUGAUAUCCGGGGCGUGACUAGAGAUGUCAACGGGUCGGAUUCGGGGCGGGUUUUUAAAAACCCGAACCCGAACCCGACUCCAAACCCGAGACCUGAACCCGAACCCGACGGAUUUUAAAAAUCCAUAUCUAAACCCGAACCCGACCAAAAAUCCGAAACCCGAACCUGAACCCGAACCCGAAAAUUUGAACCUGAAACAAUUAUUUCUUUUUUCAAUAUUUCAAAAUAUAUUAUAUUAAAUCUAAAUUUUUAAAAUACAAAUUUAAAUAUAACAUCAAAUUUUUAUAUAUAUAUUAUAUAUAAUACAAAAUAAAUUCGGGUUCGGGUUCGCGGUUCGGAUCGGGUACAAUCAAAAUCCAUAUCCGAAUCCAUAUCCGUUUGGUUUCUAUUUUGUAUAUCCAUAUCCAAAUCCAUAUCCAUAUCCAUCGGUAUAAUCCGUUUCAUUCGGGUUCGGGUUCGGAUAAAAUUUCGUGGUAUCUAUACCCAUUGACAUCCCUAGGCGUGACAAGGGAGGUCCACGUUGGACCUCUCUCUCAUUAUAUAUAUAUAUUAUAUAUAUAUAGAGAGAGAGAGAGAGAGAGAGAGAGAGAGAGAGAGAGAAGAGAGAGAGAGAGAGAGAAGAGAGUGGGCUGGUAUGCUUCUGGAAGCUUGGAGCCUUUCGUGCUUCCAAGUUGUUUUCGAUGUUCAGACUUUCGAAUCGACGAUCGCUCCGUUAGUUGAUCUAGAGUAUUGAAGUACCUAGAAAGUAAAUUUUGUGAUUUUUCGAUAUCAUUUGCUAGUGAUCGAAGGACUCAAAAUCAAUAAUUUUAAUGGCCGUGGUGAGCUUUGCAAGUUUAACGGUGUGAGAAUAUCCAAAUCACAUGAAAUUUUGAUAGAAAAUUCUUUAUACCAUAUAAAACAGAUCAAUAAUUUUGAUCUAAAAUUUUAAUGUCAUAUCAUCAUAUUUUGUAAGAUUUUUAUUUUCAGCCUGUGAUUUUAAGCCACUUCGAUCACUAGGCAAAUGAUAUCGAAAAAUCGCAAAAUUUAUUUUCUAGAUACUUCAAAUACUCUAGAUCAAGUCUAACGGACCGAUGAUCGUCGAUUCGAAAGUCCGAUCAUCAAAACAACCUGGAAGCGGAGCGCUUCGUGCUUCUAGAAGCACACCAGACGCACUUAUAAUAUAUAUAUAUAGUCCGACUACUAUGCUAUUAAUAGCACGAAGCAAUUAGUGCUACCAAGUUUUCCGCCGUUAGAUCUACCCUUUCGAUCAUUUUCAUCCGUUAGAUCAUACUAUUCAACCAACCAACCACUCAACCCUAGGGGCCCACAUCAUCCUAACCGCACAUCUCUUAAUCCAAUGGCCAAAAACUUGAUAGCACCAUAUAUAUAUAUAUAUAUAUAUAUAUAUAUAUAUUAUAUAUAUAUAUAUAUAUAUAUAUAUAUAUAUAAAUUUUAGUUAUAAAUAUAUAUUUAUUUAUUAUAUUAUUUAUUUAUUUUUAUAUAGAAAUAUUAUUAUAUAAUAUUUUAUUUAUAAAUUUGUAAUUAUUUAUUAAUAUUUUUAAAUAUAUAACUCUUAUAUAUUAUGUAUUUUAUUUAUUAUAAUUUUGUAUAUAUUUAAUCUAUAUAUAAAACUUAUAAUAAUAUAUAUAUAGUAUAUUAAUUGUUAUAUAAUAAUAAUAUAUAUAAUAAAAAAUAUAUUAAAUAGGUUUUCUUUUCCUUUCAACCAAACAAUUAUUAUGAAAAACUAAUUUUCUUUUCCUAGGAACCAAACACUAAGUGACGUAAAACUUUUUUUCCACCGAAAAUUUUUUUUCACUGAAAUUUUUUUUCAUAGUUUUACGUCAAACCAAACACACCCGGAGCCAAAUACUAAAAUGACACAGUCAUAUGUAUUCUAAAAUAUGCAUAAAAUUAAAAUUCUUACACGACAGAAAUUUUACCAUGAAAAUAAAUUUUCGAAAAUGAAAAUUUUAAUCUCGUAAAUCAAACAGGUCAUUAACCCAACAGAUUAGGUCCGGCGUAUGGAGCAUUCGGAUAGACCAGGUGCAGGAAAAUGAUUCCCAAAUACCCAAUCCAGCGGGGCCGAAGUGCCGCGAAAUAUUUUAAACAAGUGUCCAAGUUGAAGUGUCCGAUCGAGCUGUGAAGUUUGUGUCGCAUACGCAAGCCAUUCUCCAACUCUUGCUCCGUUCCAGUUUCCCCCUCUCUUCCUCUCUCUCUCUCUCUCUCUCUCUCUUCCCCUGCACAAUUCCUCUCACCUCAUCUCACCCCCCAUUCUCUCUCUCUCUAUCUCUCUCUCUCUCUUCCCCUGCACAAUUCCUCUCACCUCAUCUCACCCCCCAUCUCCCAUGGCGUCGUCGAUCUCCUCCUCCGCCCUUCGCCUCCUCGGCCGCGCCGGGCGAUUACGCCGAUCCGGCGAACCCUACUUCGCCCUCUCCCCGAUCUCCGCAUCAUCGUCGUCGUCGUCGUUGUCGACCACUACGGCUCCGCUAAUGGAGAAGGAGAAGGAGAAGGAGAAGGAGAAGGAGAAGGAGGAGGAGGUGGUGAUCGUGGGCGGCGGUAUCGCGGGGCUCGCCACCGCGCUCGCGCUCCGCAGGCUCGGCAUCGCGGCGGCGGUGCUGGAGCAGGGCGCCUCGCUCCGCUCCGGCGGGACCUCGCUCACGCUCUCCACGAACGGCUGGCGCGUGCUCGACGCUCUCGGCGUCGCCGACGAGCUCCGCGCCAAGUUCCUUCGGAUCCAAGGGUACACAAUCCAAACCCUAGCUUAAUGGUUUCAUACAUUGCGUUUAGUUUUUUGGUAAAUUGAACUACUUUUCUAGUUAUAAUUAAUCACCACCCAGCAGAGCAACGGUCGCGAGCAACUAAACUUAUUUAAGUUCCUGUAAUUUAACUAAAUCUGCUUCUUGGACAAAGUCUUGAGCUAAGACGUGAUGAGUGUUCACUAUUGUUGAUUGUAGUGAGUUAAUGACGGAACCCUCACUAUCAAGAUACUAAUCACACUAAUAAACAAAUGUGAUGUAUCUGAAUUAUCCACAACCAAGAUAUGCAGGAUUGGAAUAAAUGAAAAAUAUCCAAACACAAUCACAACAGCACAAGAGGAUUUACGUGGUUAACCCAAUCCGGGCUACAUCCACGGGCACGGAGAAAUCAAAUCCACUAUCACAUAAGGAGAUUACAAGAUUUGGUCGGAGAUUACCACUCUAUUACAGUGGGUUUGCAAUCUUCUAAUUGGGAAAAAACCCUUCUUGCUACACCUUCAUCGAAGAACCUUCCGAAUCCGUGAAACCGGCUUCGAAAUGCCUCUUAGAAUUCCUCCAACCAACCUUGAAAGUUUUGAAUCAAGCAGGAAGAACAAGAGAGAUCCUUCUCCAACCCUCUCUACACCUCUCUUCUCUGUCUCAAGAAAAGAGAACCCUAGAGAGCAAAAAAAAUGAGAACUCUCUCAUUCUAAACACAAAAAGAAUCCUCUCUUAACAUCACUUGGCCCAAUAUACCAAAUGGGUCAACUAAUGCUCAAACCAAUUACUAACUAACCUAUUACAUGAGUUGUUGAACCAAACCCAAAAUAAAACCAACUAGGCUAAUAAGUGAAUUUGAUAUCACUAACCCAACAGAAUAUAAAAAAAUAUUAAAAUAGAAUUUUCUAGCAGCUUAAACUUUCAGAAAAAAAUAAUUAUUUAAUAUUAUUUCACACGGUAUUAAAGCUAAAGGUUUUGAUCUCCUAGCUUUAUUUAAUUUUCUGGCAAAAUUAAUCUACUUAUAUGGGCUUGAGGGAGUGAUGGAUGCAAAAAAAAAAAGAGGAGUAAAAUACCGUUCUUUGGCAGCUUAAUGAAGCUUUCCGAAAAAAGUGGUUUCAUGUUUUUUCGCGACUUUAACAUAUAUACAGUAAUCCCCUAUUCUCUAGAAGCUUAAAUUGGUAGGAAUCAUUGGUUUUUUUUUUCCCACACUAUAAUGCCUGAAAUUUUGAUUGUGUCAGUGAGACAUUUGAUAAUGCAAAAGUUCCGGGGUAUCCCCGCUACCAAACGCAGCUUAGGCACUGGUUGCAUCCUGUUGACAUCUUGUAUACUUCCAAUCCUGAUUUCUUAGCAGAGUAAAUGCACCCAUUAAAUGCACCCAUUCACUUUAAUUUUCAAUACCUAUAACAAUUGAAUAAUUUGAUCUUAUGAAUCGAUUUUCCUUAUAAUAUGCUGUUUCACGAGACAGGUGAUGUUAUUUGUUAAAUUUAAUAUAUAUGUUCAUGGUAAAUCAUAUAAAAUCAGAAUAGUAACCUUGAGGAGGUGCCGGUGUGGACCACUAGGUAUCUCAACGACAUGUUAUGAUGUCCCCACAAUAUCUUCUUGCUGCAUAUUGAAGCAAAAAUUUCUAAUUGGAUCUUCUGUUUUCUAUGCUCACUUUUGUUUAUGCUUGAAACGUUCUAUAUGCGUGAAUGUAUAUUAAGUUCUACUACUAGAAUCUCUAGACAUUUUGGUUGUGGCUUAUGCUUCUCGAUCAGAGAAGCUAUUCUAGAAAUCAAACCAAAGAGGUACUGUGUCAGAGGGGUACAGGUUUCUAAAUUUAAUUCUUACCUGUAUUUUCUCUUUUGUUUGCGAUAUUUUGUUCUUAUUUCUUUGGUGGGUCAACUGUGUGCAGACUGGUGAUGAGAUCAGAAGAUGGGAAAGAGCUCAGAUCUUUCAGAUUUGAGGAUGAAGCCCCUGGGUAAAAUUGCAUAUUAUUUCUUUUUGUUGUACUAAUGAUGGUAAUAAAGUUGAAUUUGUGAAUUCUUUAGCUGAAAGCCUGAAAUAGUUUUGGACUGCAUCCACCGUAGUUCAAUUAAUACAGGUCCUAAACUAUUUUAUUUUCUCUGGCAUUUGAGGACCUUGAAAGUCGUUGUUACCUUUUAAACAGAAUAUUCUCUUUCUUAACAAAAUAUUUUUACGACUUUUGACUAACCAUUACGUCUAAUAGAUUUUGACUGAAAUUCAAAAAUUAGUUCGCUGAGAGGCUCAAACCUAAAAUAUUUUAACCAUGCAGUUACAGAUACAUGUACCUAAUGUGUUUCAACCUUCAAGCUAUCUGAUGCUAGUCUUCUACAGGCAAGAAUUGCGGGCAGUAGAAAGGAGAGUUCUUGUGGAGACUCUAGCUGGGAGAUUACCUCCAAACACAAUUUCCUUUUCUUCGAGAUUGAGAUCGAUUGCAUGGCAAGGGAAAGAUGGUAUUCUUCUGGAGCUAGAUGAUGGUCGCCGAGUACUUGCUAAGGUAUUUUAAAACAACUUAACAUGUUUUCCCUUUUUCGUUUGUAAUGCCUAGGUAAUUAUAAUUUACAUGGUUGAUUUGCAUUUCCUUUGCAACAUAUAGUGGUGGAUAUUUUAUAUUCCAUAUGUAACAUUUCAACACAAUUGUUUCUUAUCUUCUCUGUUAGGAACAGGUUAACUACAAACCAAUCUAUAUGACAAGUUCUAAUCUCCUUCUAUGUAAAGCAGAUUAACUUACAAAUGUUUGAGCAAUCUUAAGGAAGUUAAUAAGGAAAUUGUAGUGUUGUGUAACUUGUGUUACUGUAACAUUGAUUGAUCCAAGGGACUAAUGGUUUUGAGAGUAAAAAAGAGAUAGAGAUACAAGGAUAAAUAAACUGUGUACAUAUGAGAUAGGCCGCACGGAAAUAAAAACAUGAGGAUGCUUUAUUAAAAAUCAAGAUGGCUUCAUGAUUUUCCACGAAAUUCCAAUUUACAAUGAAUAGUGCCGGAUAUUAGUAGGGAUGUCAAUGUGUCAGAUUCGGGGUGGAUUUUCAAAACCUGAACUUGACUACAAACCCGAAAUCCGAACCCGAAACAAUUAUUUCUCUUUACCACAUCUCAACAAACUAUUCUCGAUUUUGACCAUGCUAUGCAUCAAUCUAGUAGCUUAUCUACUGUCUACUGGUCCUCAUCAAUCUUCUCUAUUUCCAUGCAUAUGAUGCAGUGUAUAGUGUAUUAAGCAGUAAUCUCGAAUGGUUCUCUUAACAUAUGACGAGCAUAUGCAUAAAUCGACGGCACUUGUGUACAUAUCAUGUAUGUGGAUCUUUUUUUGCAUUUAUGUGUAUGUUCCCCAUUCUUUCUUAAGGCCUCUCUUAUUUAAACUGGAGUUAUUGUAAAAAUGCUAUUUGAGUAGAGUUGCUCAUUACGAUAAUAUCAUUUUUCGAAAAUCCCUUCCUCCGAAAGCUUCUCGCUGCAAUACAAACAGAAGCUUUAAAUUGCUGCUUCUUCCUUGAACCUAGAAGCGCAUCGUGGUUUUCUGCACCAGCGAAAGCUACGGGCUCUUGUUCCUGACUGCCCGAUUGCUUCUUUCUUGGAGAGGAGAAGUUUAUUCUAGAAGUCGGGCCAAUGGGGUUCUUAAUCUUAAUCACGCACAAAAUGUUUUUGAAGCAAGCUUGGAAUUUACUCAACCUAUCAUGUUAUUUUACCGAAUCCUCUGUUACAGAUUGUGAUUGGCUGUGAUGGUGUCAACUCACCAAUAGCAAAGUGGAUGGGGUUUUCCGAGCCUAAGUAUGCGGGACACUCUGCUUUUCGUGGUCUUGGACAAUAUCCUGAAGGCCAACAAUAUGAGUCAAAGGUGAACUACUUCUAUGGAAGGGGCCUCCGUGCGGGCUUUGUUCCAGCUUCUCCUACUAAAGUUUAUUGGUUCAUCUGCUUCAACAGCCAAUCCCGAGGUCUCUCUUUUUUCUGUUCUUUGAUAUGUGGCUAUACUAUUUGCUUGAAUAUCAGUUGCGUAUUUCAUUUUAUAUAUAGAUAGAAUGCACUUGACUUUACAUAGGGAUAGUCAAAUAUGGUUUUGAUGAAAAAUAUCUUUCCCUUAACAUUAACACACUUUUGCAAACUACCAUCUGAAAUUUGACGAGUAAACAACACUGCACGAACAUUUGGUUUCUGUGAUGAUCUCUUCAUUAAUAGCCAUUAUAUCACAUUACAACGAAAAAAUAUUUGCAACUAAUUUAAGCUCAUGUAGGUAUUUAAAAGAAAAAGGGUAAAUAUUUGAACCUUUACGGGUUACGUGACAGCCAUGCUCUAAAGGUAGUUACAAAAUCCACGGAAAUUAGGGAUGGAUGGUUUGAUUACAUGGAUAAUUUGCGUUUGUAAUUUUUUAACCUUUUAUAUUCAUAUUGUGAUUUAGCAUGCGGCCUUCCGCGCUACAGGUUAUGAAGUUGUCGAUGAGGCUAAAAUUAAACUAAAAAUUUACAUGUACUGUCUAAUUGUGUAAGGCACGUGCUUGCUGUUGAAAUCUUACGAUAUAUUAUGUCUUGGUCGGUCAAGUGCUCUUUCAUGUUUGGCUGGCCUGUCAGGGAGUCCAGAAAAGUGCUAUUUGAAAAAUACAAUUCGACAAAGCACUAAUGGUUUCUCAUUAACAUCAGAAGGUUCAGGUUUGAAGUUUUCAAUUUAGGUGUCCCAAAAGCUUGUUUAAGUUCCUUGGAGUAAGGAAAGCUUCUUUAAUUUUAGCUUCGUGCCGCUUGUGUUUCGUAAAGAAGCUGUUUCAAAGGCUUGUUAACUGAAUUCUUUGAUCCAACAUUCCAAACAGGACCGUGGAUAGCCGAUCCAUCAGCCCUCAAGAAAGAGGCCUUGGAUCUUGUUCAAACUUGGCCGCAGGAGCUCCUCGACAUCAUACACAACACCCCCGACGACGCCAUCGUCAAGAACCCGUUCGUCGACCGCUGGCUCUGGCCAGGCCUCAGCCCAUCGCCAGUUGCAGCAGCUUCGAACGGCGGUGGCAGUGCGGUGGCGGUGGUGGCCGGGGAUGCGUGGCACCCCAUGACGCCCAACCUUGGCCAGGGCGCGUGCUGCGCUCUAGAAGAUGCCGUCGUCCUUGCUGGAAAGCUUGCACCGGCACUCGCAGGCAGCAGAGGAGCAGUGGCGGCAGCACUGGGGGAGUAUGCGCGGGAGCGUUGGGCGAGAGUGUUUCCCUUAACGGCGCGUGCCGGACUUGUCGGAUCUUUGCUGCAGUGGGAGAAUCCAAUAGUGUAUGCUUUUAGGAAUAAGGUAAUGAUUCCCAGGUUGGCUCGAUUGGGGCCAUUACUGAAGCACACAAACUUCGAAUCUGAGGUGUUGGAGACCAUUGCAUCCAAGUGAAGCCACACAUGAUUUCAUAUUCAUAGGGAGGUAAAGAUUACAUACACAAUUUGAGUUAUAAACCAUUUAUAAGAUGAUGUAUGUUCGAACUUUUUAAUUUGGUACCCAUAGGUUUCGUAAUUUUGAAUUCAGUGACCCGCCACCCCCUCCAUUAGGUACUAUAGGGGCCAUUUGUUUGGGUAUGCUUCCAAAUACUACACAAAAUACCAUGGAAUUGUCAAUAUGGAUAUUUUUGAGGCCUUGUUUGGAUGUCAGAAUAAGGCAUCUAAUGAUAACUUGUUGAAUAAAAAAGUUUUCUUUAUGAUUGAGUGCCAAAAAGCGACUUACUAAAAAAUUUAGUUAUCUGUAUCUCAUGUGUAUAACAUAUUUUACUUACGAGAUGAUUUAUUUUAUUUUAAAAAAAUAUUUUGUAUGCUGACUAUGAUAUUUAUUCUAGAUAUUUGAUUUUUUUUUUCAUCUCUCAAAUAUUCCAUAAUUUUAGGAUAAAUUAAAGUGAUAUAUCAAAUAAAAUGUUUACGCAUCCAAAUAGACUUUAAAUUCAUCUUUUGCUCAUAGGUUGCUGGUAUUAUAAUUACCCUUUUUUGGGUUUGUGCUGUAGUUGCACGUAACAUUGGAAUGUCUAAAAAAAAAGGAAAAAAAAAAGGGAGUUAAGGUGGUACCUAAUGUAGAGUAAAUUUACUAUGUUUCUUUUUAGGAUUAGUUCCCACAAAUAUAAUGAAUGAUAAAUAUAUUCUUAUAAAGUUAAAUUUUUAUAUGUUGUCUCUACAAAAAUUUUAAUAUUUUCAAAUAUAUUCUUUUGGUUUGUUACUGUUAAAGAACCGUUUUAAAGAACUGUUUAUAUUUUUAAUUUUGCCAUCAUAAAUAUGGCCCUCUAAAAGUCAUAACACUAUAAUAUAAAAGGGUAAAAUUGUCGGAUCGUUGGCGCUAACCAUUAAUCCCAAAAGCUCGAGCUGUUAGAAAUACGCAAUCAAUUGACUUAAAGCGUAAGAUACAGGACCCACGGAUCUUGACUGUGACUCGAACCAACUAGCUUCACACCACUUCGAACAUGACUCGGGCCCAUCCAGCCUCACGCCAUUUCAAACAUGACUUGACCCAACAUAUCCUUUUGCCACAUGGUAAGAUGCUGGUCCAUUUAAGCCAACAAAAAUGACAAAGACUAACCAACGUAAAGUACUUAAUCUAUAGUAAACUAAAUUUUUCUAACGAAUUCUAACGAUAGGGACAUAUUUGAAAAUAUCAUGAUUUUGUAGGAACAACAUAUGAAAGCUGACUUUGUAGGAAUAUAUUUGUCAUUUACUAUAUUUAUAGAGACCUAUAUGAAUUAACCCUUCUUUUUAUAUGUUUGUGUAGGCUAUCUUUUCCUAUGUUUGUCUAGGUUUGAUUAGCAGCAGGUGUGCAUCAUCUACAGGUUUAACUAUAGUUGGGAACAAAUGUAAAAACAAAAUUUUUAAAUUUGUACUAGUCAUACCUCGCAUGAUUAGUUUAAGCAAUUAGUGGUUGGUAUUUAAGGUUCUAAACUUAAAACCUAGUUGUUUCAUAUUCAUUGUCUACAGUGCUUCUAGAUCAACAAAACACCUCUUUAGACUUCGUUUGAAAUUAUAGAUCAAUUAUAUUAUAAUUAGGUGAAAAAAUAGGAUAAAAUAUAUUCCGUUUGUUCUUUUAAGCUAUAAUAUUAUGCAUAUUAAUAAUUCAGUUAGAAACAAAUCAUGAAUUUUAAUUAGAAAAUGAAGAAGUAUAUUACAACUUUGUUGAAGUCUUGUAUAAUUUUGUAGUUGAUUUGUUAGCUUCGGUUUCUUGCUAAGGGACAUCUUCAAAAAUGGCUUAUAGUUGAGGUUAUUUGAAUUAAGGAGUAUGUUUCUUUCUAGAACAAUACCUAGUGCCCUAAAAAGCCACAUGGACGGUUGAAGUCAAAGUUGCAAGAUAUGCUAUUGCUGUCUCUUCUUACAAUUUGUAUUCUAUAUUUAUAAGUUAAGUGUAAUCUUUACUUUAUAAUUAUUUACUAUCUAUCUUUUUUCACUAGUACUUUUGUUCUCCGAUACCAAAUUUCAAAGGAAUUUUGUGAACUCUUAGAUGGGUGAGUACAAGAUUUAUAUUUAGGACUUGUUUGGUUUAAAAGUGUAAUUAUCUUACACUAUAUAAUUUGAUGGUUUCGUCGUAGCGUACUACCCUUCGCCCUUUCCACGUGGCACACUCUCAGAUACUUUCCGUCUCUCUCUUCCCUUCUACAGGUAGCCCUUUUCAAAUUCUCUUUCUUUUCCCUCGUCUAGCUGGCCCUCUUUUUCUCGCUCUUCUUCUCUCCUUUCUAUCUUAGCCUCCCCUCUCUCUCCCUAUCAUCCAUUCUCUCUCUCUUCACAAGGUGGUGGACUAGGCAGCAACAACAGCAGUAAUGGCUUGGGCGCAGCGUCAGCGGUGGCAACAGCAGCGAACACAAUAGUGACGGUGAUUUGGGCGGUAUCAACGGCGGUCACCUCACCUCGAUCUCACCUCGCCAUUGAGGGAUCUUAGCAUUUCGGCAUCAGUUGCGGUCGCCUCGCCUCGAUCUCAUCUCGCCAUUGAGGGAUCUUAGCGUUUCUUUUAAUUACUGUGAACAUCUCAUACUCCCCCCCAAAAAAAAUUAAAUUAAAAAAAUAAAAGAAAAAAUAACUUUUGCAGGAGAGGAGCAGGGAAACUCUUAUCUCUCUUUUUUUUUUCUUUUUUUUUUUACUCUUCUCCUUCUUCUCUUUUUUCUUCUUCUCUGUACCCUCAUUCCUUCUAUUUUUUAUUUUUUUUCUUACUUCUUUCUUCUUGCCUAGAUGUGUUGGUGUAGGCGCAAAAUUGGGAGAAUUGGGAUAGGUGAUAAGGACGGCGGUGGCAGCUUUGCCAGCAACAGCGGCGGACAGCGCGACGGUGGAGGUAAUGCCGGCGGCAUCAGCACUGGUCGCCUCGCCUCGAUCUCACCUCACGAUUAAGGAAUCUUAACAUUUGUUAGUUCUUAUUAUUAUGAACAUCUCAUAUACCCACAGAAAAGAGAAAAAAAUUUUUUUAAAAAAAACUGAAUAAAGAGAUGGCUUAUAUAGAUGGUAGUAAGAUAGAUCGUUACCUAGAUCUACACAUUUCUUUAUUUUUUUUUAAGAUGAAAAUAUAACAAAAUGAUGAAAUUAUCGAUGGAACAUAUGAUUGAACAUAUCAUGUGUUAUGUUAAAUUUGUUUUACAUUUUAAGAUGAAAAGAAAUGGUGAGAUUGUGUAUUGAACAGAUGAUCCAGCAUGUUAUAUGUGUAUUUUGAGUUAUUAUUAUUAUUAUUAUUAUUAUUAUUAUUAUUAUUUUGGGUAACGGGGGGAGCAGGGGAGGAGGAGAUAAUGACACAGAAUAUUUACUAACUGAAGCAUUCUAAAGAUCUCACCGUCGAAGCGAUAAAGCUCGACUCUCUCGCCUCCGAUCUCGAAAAAAAAGAGAGGCCUGAAGUAUAAUUUCACUGCUUGUUAUCUAUUUUUAUUUUUUUUUUGUUUUUGAUAUUAUGUUUUUCUUUUCUUAUUAUUUUUUUUCUCAACAGGGAAGUUUAAAAUGCCUCUUUUUAUAAUAAAAAGUAUUAUUAUCUAGGUGAACCUUUUAUUAUUUUUUUUUUCCUACUUUAAUUUUUUUUUCGCAACUUUUCUAGAGCAUAUGAUCCAUUUUUUACUUUAUUCAAUCUUAAUUUGACUUAACUAUAGUGUAAAAUUAAUCACGAAAGAAGAAAAAUACAAUAUCUAGGUGGGCAUGCGUUCUCCUUCUUAGCUUGGCAAAAAAAGAAAAAAACGCAAUAUUUAGGUAAACCUCUUUUUAUUUAUUUUCUUUUUACUAUAAAUUUCUUUGUUUUAUUUUUUUUUUCUACAAUUUUUCUUGGGACAUGUCAUUUAUUUCUACUUAACUCUAUUUCAUUAUAAUUUUACAUAACUUUGAUAUAACAUUAAUCGUAAUUUAUUUAAUCAUAGCAAAACACGAAUUCUAUACUAGUAACGGAUAAUGGAAUGUAAAUGAAUUAAAUGGUAAUUGGAUUGACCCACACUCUCGGACGUUUGGUUCAUUCUUGGAUUGAAAAUUAGAAUGGAUUAUUUCCAUUACACUAUUUGGUUUAUAUAAAUUAAAAAAUAAUAAAAUAACAUAUUUACUCUCAAAUAUAAAUCUAUAAAAAAUUAUUUUCUAUCUAAAUUUUAUAAAAAUUUCAAUUCUAUUCUCAAAUUAAAACCCUCGCAGAAAGGGAAAAAAAUCAAAUUUAUUUUGAAGUUUAUGUAACAAAAGAACAAAUCUUUAUUAAAAAAAUGCAUAAUUUUUUAAAUAUUAUUAUAAUAGAAAGUAAUAUAUUAUUGUUAAUAUAAAUAACAUAUAUUUUAUAAUGACUGAAAUUAAACUUCAACUAAGAAAUCUUAUAACGGUAAAAAUAUAGACAAGUUGCAAGAAAGAAAAGAAAAAAGAGAAAUAAAACGCCAAGUAUAUUAAUAAAUGUGAAAUAUUAAACACCAUUGAAGUAUGCAAAUUUAUAUAAAAAAUUCAUUAGUUUUAAGAUUUUGCAAAAAUAGGCCACCAUUUUGAAUUUUGCAAAAUCUAUCCGAAUUUUCAGAAAACUGACCAAAAUACCCCCCCCUUUUUUUUUUUUUCUCUCUCUCAAUUUUUUUUCUCUCGUUCUUUUUUUUUUAUUCUCUUUAAAGAGGGCAACAGAGGCGGAGGCGGAGGCGGCCCGCCUUGCUUCUGCCAUGCGUGCCUUUGCCUAGGCCCGCGCGCCCCCUAUCUUCCUUUCGUUCUACCCCGCCGAGGUUGCUCUUGCCGUUGUCCUUUGGGAUGCCUACCUUGCCUCUGCCCCACACGCCAUCUCCCGCGCCUGCACCCUUCUCGCCUUUGACCCUGUCGAGGCCACACUGUGACCCUCUUUUUUUUCUCUCCGACCCUUCUCCACAGCCUCUGCGGCCCUCUACGACGAUAAUGAGGAUGACACCGCAUCCUCUUCCUCUGCCUUUGCCCUUCAUUUUCACUGUAGCAGAUUUUUCACACAUCAAACCCACUUCUGGAAACAUAUAAAAUACUAUACCACAACAUGGAAGAAAAUAGAAAUCCAAAUCAAUUUAGAAAAGAAAUCAUUGUAUUAGAGUAAUAGCAUAGGAAGAGAUUAGGAAUUUGGGAUCCAAGGGGGCUAAAAAAAACAGAUAUCGAACCUUCACAGUGUAGCUAGUGUUUCUUGCAGAGUCUCCACAUGUUACAAUUACUCAUCGUGCUACCGUAUCGCAUAGCCGCGUUUUGCUGUUGGGUCUUGCUGCCGCGUCACGCUACCGCCCCUUGCAUUGUGCCACUUUGCAGCGUUGUCGCAGAACGUUCGCGGAGCCGUUAGGGUUAGAGGUGAGGGAUAGGAAUGCUUAGAGAUAAGAGUUUUAUUUUUAUUUUUUUAUAAUUAGAAAGUAGAUGGGGAGAUCGUGGGGUGGAGGUUGCGUGGGCUAGGAUUGACGGUCGCGUGUGCCAGGGAAGAGAUUGCGUGGGCUUCGAAAUGAAAUCCCAAUCUGGAUUUUGAGGCCGGAAUCAAGUUAGAAGUUGUUGGCCCACUCCUAUUCCAAACCGAAUCUGAUUCCAAUUUCUAUGAACCAAACAAAAUUAGUUGGAUUUGAUCAAAACGGUUCCAUUCCGAGUUCAUGUUUGGUUAGUUAUUGGAAUGAGAAUGAAAAUUACAAUUAGAUUACAUUAAAAUAAAAAAUAAAGUGACAAAUCAUCCAAAAAAUUGGUUUAUUAUUGGAACGAAAAUUGAAAUGGACAAUUAAAACAAUUGAACUUUGAAAGAAAGUCUCAGUUAAGGGAAAGGAGAGUGAUAGAAAGAUAGAAAGGGGAGGUGUUUGCGAGAGAGAGCUUUGGGUGGUUUACUCUGAAAUGAGCCAUUCAGGAUCUGAGAAAAAAUUGAGCCAUAAAUCGAUUGAUUCGAGAAUAGAAUGAGAUUGAAAUUCGAUUCUUAUAAAACAAAUAACAACUAGUGAAAUGAGUGAAUCUCAUUCUGAUUUUAGAGUCUAAAUUAAGUGAAUCAAAUAAACAACAACUAGGGCUUGUUUUAUUCAACUCAUUCUAGACUUUGAAAUUGGAAUUAGAUUCACAUAUUCCGAUAGUUAUUAUUUUCUUUUAGGAAUCAAAUUUUGAUUCUCAGUCCACUCUAGAAUAGCAAUGGCUUGAUCCAUUUAUGGCCAAAUCAAACUUUCAAUUUUGGACUUGACGUGAUAAGGGUGAAUAGGGAAGAAGUUAGGGAUCAAAAUGAAUGAGUUGGAAAAGGUUUGGGAUGAAUAGCCUAAUUAAUUCAAGGGCUUUCAAUAAGCCAAACACGAAGCUAGGACUAGCUUGUGUUCGGCUCGAUUCCUUAACGAGCUGAACAAAAGCUAGCUCAAAUAAUUUAUGAUCUGAUAUCAAGUUCGGCUUUUCGAACUCGUUACGAGUUUAAGCCGAACAUGAGCCAAUCUCCUCACCCAUUUUAAUAGAGGUGGGGUUGAUAUCGAGCUAAAAAUUUUAGAUCAUCUUCGACUCAUUUAUUGAGCGAGCGAUUUGAUCUCACGCCCAUUUUAAGUUGAACAUGAACUGGCUUGCGAACAAUGAGCUAGGUUGCCAACCCGGAUUAACACUAAAGAUUAAGAUCAAAUUGCGAAAAAUAAAAGAUUGGAGAUCAAAAUGGCAAACUGGGUAAAGAUUGGAGACCAAUUGUGCAAUUAACCUUUUGUUUAUGAGAUGCGUUAGCUCUACAACCCACUUUGCAUUGAAAUUUUAUAAUUCCUCUCAUCCAAAGGCCAUGUUUUUCUAGGGAUAAUUGCUUAUAUAUCCCUCAAAACUUCUGAAAUAUUUUAUUUAUUUUUAUUUUUAUGGUCUCAAAUAUACCUCUCGUAUAUUUCUCCAUUAUUCAUAAAUACUUCUGCUGUUAGUGUCUGUUAAGUCAUUUCGGAUUAAAAUCUGAGUUAAAUUUCAACUAUAAUUAAAAAAAAUAAAAAUAUCAAUUUUGCCCCUAAGUUUAAAGGCAAAUAAGAAAUGUCGGUAACAAUAGAAAGAUAUAUUUGAAAAGAUAAAAAAUCAAAACCUUAACUUGAAGGCAUAUGAGAAAAGUUAGUGAUAGUAGACAAGGAUAUUUGGAAGAAAAAAUAGUAAUUUUACAAAAAUGAUAGUUGUUUCUAAUAAUAAUUUAGAAAUUAUAUCGACUAGUUUAUAAUUUUAUUUUUAUUUCACUGAAAACCACCGUCAGAAAAGAUGAUAGUGUGAUAAUUUUUGAAAGUUACAUGACAGUAAAAUACAAAGUAAAAGAUGAUAAAGUGUUAUAUUGUAAUGCCUUAAAAUUUGCAAAACUAUCAUUUUAUUGUCCUAUUUGAUGAUAAAUUUUUAAAAAUAAAAAUAAAAAUAAAACUAUAGGAAAGUUAAUUAUUAUAGUUUUUUAAAGGCUAGAUUAUAGAAAAUCUCCCUGUCAAAAUUCGAUUUUUCACUUUCCCCCCUGUCAUUUAAAAACCUACACUUUCGCCCCUUGUGAAAUAAAAAAUGUUCAUUUCGCCCCUUGCCGUUAGUAAUCCGUUAGGAUUCCGUUUAUAAAAUAUUAUUAUAUAUAUUUUUAUGCCAAAAAUACCCUCAGCCUUCUCUCCUGUGAACAUGAUGAGGGGCAAAAUGAUGAGGGGCAAAAUGGUCAUUUUAUAAUUACAGCUCACAUUGUACCCUCCCUGUGAAUAUUUUUUAUUUUACAAGGGACAAAAGUAUAGGUGUUUAAAUGACAGGGGGAAAAGUGAAAAAUCAGAUUUUGAUAGAGGGUUUUAUGUAAUUUAGUAUUUUUUUUUAACUACAUAGUCGCAAAAUAAAAAUGCUCUAAACCACGGGUCCACGUGAAUGACGUGGAGGACCAGUUCCACGGAAUAUUCGUCAGGCCUAGCCCGUUCCUCUCCUUCCACGUCCGCCCUAUUUAUCUCCCUCCGCGCGAUCCCAUUCCUACUUUGCCUCUCCGAACCCCCUCUCUCUCUCUUCCCGACCUCGUCCUGUCCCUCUUCGCUCCGAAACCCUAGAAGCGAAGAGAUCCUAAAUCGCCUUUAAUCUCCUCCCCCUCCCUCGUUUCCGAUCAAAUUCCCCUUCGCCGAUCGCAGAGGCGUCCCCGUAGAGCUUCCUCUUCCUCAUCCUCGAUUUCUCGCCAUGAAUCCGGAGUAGUAAGUUCCCCGAAUCAUUGCGAUCAACUUUGUUUCUUCUAAUUGGUAGCGUAAGAUUGUAGGAUUUCUAUGUUUGGAUUGAGAGAUUGUCAGGUAUUUGGAUUUUGGAUUGAAUUAGUUAGGGUCGGUAUUGAGAUCUCGCCGGAUCUGGUCAUGUGGAGAUUGGAGAUUUGCGUGUUGUUUCUCUUUUGAAGGGUAUUUUGUGAGUUUCUUAUUGUUUGUUUGAGGAGAGGGAUUAGAUUGUGAUUUUGACAUAGAUAUGUGGAUCAGACCGGGUCGUUUGGGCUUUAGAUCUGGUUAUACGCUUGUGACUUUGCUUGAUUGUGCGUAUGACAUUUCGCUUGUGUUUGUUGACGUUAUCGUGAGAUUUGCUUGUUUGAAAUGGUUAAUUGCAAGAAGAUCUGCUAUUUUAGAAGGAAAGGAAUAGGGAAAUUGUUAGGUACAAAUAGUAUUGUACCUUGUUGUUUGGAUGAGAUGACAUCUUUUGUACGUUCCAUACGGUGGGCACGUAUUUAUCACAUAUGGAUGUCUUGCUGGAGAAACUUUCCCGGAUGCAUAUUCAAAGGCUGCAUGAUCUAUUACCUUUCUUGAUACAAACUUCAACAUUCUUUUCUCCCUCUCUUUUUCGGCCCUCAAGUUCUCGUCCCUCAGUGAUAAUUCCUGCCAAAUAGGCUCAACUGAGAGGAUUAAGUUGCCAGCUUCCUACAAAAUUCUCUUGCAUCUUACUCUGCCGUUAUCACUUACCGGUUAGAGAAUUUUUUACUCUUCUAUCACUGGAGUUUAGGAAGUUGUUAUGCUGCAAGUGUCUCUAUUGGUUUUUGAUUUGAUUAAAUACCUACUUUAUAAAAUUCUUGGGGUAACUUCAAAAUUCCCCUAUAGUUUACCCCAUUUGCAGUUCACUGUCCUAUUUCUCAAAGUGUAGAUCAGUUUCUCCUUGAGGAGUCGAGGACGUGCUAUUCUGCCUCUCAAUUUAUUUCUGUUUUGGUUUUUUAUAAGCGCCUAUCAUUAUUAAAGGUAUCAAAGUACUACACUUUAUAAAUCAUCAGAUGAUAAAUUUACCACUUUAUCAGCCUGUGUUUUGCACUUUGUCACCCUGUGUUAUACUAAAUGUGGCACUUUGCUACCCCUUAUAAAAUUAGGUACAUAUAUAGAACUGAAAAAAAAAAAUCAUCGGGUGCAAAGUGCUACACUUUGAGAAUAAUGUGCGCAAUGGGCUUUCUGAAGUUUUCCCUAUAUUCUUGGUCACAAAGCUGAAACACACAGUACUUUCAAGUGUUUAUACUCUUUCCUUAUUGAUUCUGUUGAAUUCUUUAGCUUCUAGACAUUUCUCCUUAUUAAAUCGUAUACUGAAGCUGCAUAAUAACAACUGGAUUUUUAACCUAGGUUUUAUCAAGGCUAUUGAUUUGACUGGAUAUAAUGAGUAAUCUAUAUCAAUUAGUGGGCUGACGUAUCUAUUUAGCCUCAUUUUUUUUUCUUAUCUUGCAUUGCUUGGAUGUACUUUUCUUUUAAACCGUAAAUAUCUUAUGGGAAGUUCUUUGGAAGGUUAAGAGAUAUAAUGUUCAGUUGCCCGGAGAUUAGGAGAUAUUGUUAUUAUUAUUUAUGGUCAGAUGGACCAUCGAUCUAGAAAUAUCUUUAGCUGAUUGUCCAGAACAGUUGUUAAUUUUCUUGGUAAAUUAAACUUGUCGACACAUUGUAGUUUGUUGAUCAAGAAAAUGUAUACUAUUGUUUUUGUUAGUUGAGAGAAAUUAAUUGCAUGUUUUCCUUCAUAUCUCAGUGACUAUCUCUUCAAGCUUCUGCUCAUCGGUGAUUCUGGUGUUGGCAAGUCAUGCCUCCUCCUAAGAUUUGCGGUAAGAAUUGAGUGAAUAAUUUUCUCCUUUUCAUCAUUUAAAUUAGUCCUCUUCUUUGGAAGUUGGUGUCCUUGCAUGUUGUAUUUGGCUAUAUUGAUAUGCAACAGAAACUUCCUGGAUUGGAUAUGCUUUACGAGCGUGAAAAAGAAAAAUAUUAGUGUAUUAUUAGCCUAGUUAAACCUUGUGUCUUUAUUUCUCUUUGCAUUCAUAAGAAGUUAAGAAUCUUCCUUUCUUGCUUUUUGUUUAUGGAGCCCGUGAUUGUCGUUUGUUGGUGUGUUUUCUAGCGACUAACCCUAUAGUAUCUUUUUAAUUGUAAGAGUUGGCAUUCAAAAUUUUUAUUUAUAAAACUAGGCCUACACGUUGAAUGAUUUAUCAUUUUUAGAAAGCAGUGAUAAAAAGCGGUAAAUAAUUCACCGCUUUCACCAAAUUUUUAUAUUUUCUACGUUCGAACUUCGAAGGAUGUAUAGUAUGGAAUGCUAAAAAUAAUUUUACCGUUUUAGAAAGCAAUUACCGCUUUUUAAAAGCUGUAAAUCAUUCACCGCAUAAGCCUAGGUUUGUAAAUAAUUUUUGUAAAAGACUUUUUAUAAUUAUAAUAUUUUUAGGCAUGUUAAUAAAAAAAUUAUUUGUCAGUGCCAUUUACUUGCAUAAUAAAGCAAAUAGCAGAAUAUUUAAUUGUACGGCCUUUUAUAAUGUCCCAUGCAUUUUUAACGAAGCUGUGUUGCAUCUGCUGACCAUGAUGUAAAUUUGCACAAAGCCACAUGGCUAUUUUUGGAGCUUCCAUGCAUACAUUUUGUUCAGUGACUCUUAACAAAAUCCAUAGUUCUUUGAACAAAGUUCACGGCAAUUAUUAAAAUUGCUGUUAUAUAUGCUAUUGAAAGCCCUAUCUAUAAGGUCUAGUGCACUUGCCGUAGACUUAGUUAAACCAAGUGAAUUUUCCUUGCAAGAUUUCAUGCAUGACAACUUUUUGGCUUUUCGUGAUUAGGAUGACUCAUACUUGGAGAGCUAUAUCAGCACCAUUGGAGUUGACUUUGUAAGUGCAAACUGUGCUAAAACCAUUUUGUAAAGGCUGCUUCUUUUCUCUUUUCAUGCAACAUGAUUUUACCAUUCUCUUUUGGCAGAAAAUACGAACGGUUGAGCAGGAUGGGAAGACCAUUAAGCUUCAAAUUGUAAGUUCAUUUUAUUUAACUUGGGAGAUUGGAUAUUUUUCAUCAUAAUAGUUUUGUUUCUCUCAUAGCCAGUUCCCUUUUAUUUCUAAGACAUGUGAAUAGCAAUUGUUUCUUGUGAUGUUUUCAUGGGGCUGUAUCAAGCAAUCUUAUAUUUAUGAACUCUUGUUUUUCUAUUUGCUGUUGGCCACAGUGGGAUACUGCUGGCCAAGAACGAUUCCGGACGAUCACCAGCAGUUACUACAGAGGCGCUCAUGGUAUCAUUGUAAGUUUAUAUGCGCGAGUCUUUGCUAUUCUUUUAUUUGUCAAGGCCUCUGCUGUCCUGCAUUAUAUUUAUUCUAAAAAUCAUCUCUUUGCACAUAGCCCAUGUAAAAUCUAAAUUUUUAAGCAUGUUUAAUGAAAGUCUAUUUCCUCAAGCCCUAUUUUUUUCAGUCGAGAGGUACACUUUUUAAGAGCAAGGAAUAUAUAUCUAAGAAAUCAAGUUUUGAAGAGAAAUACAAGUAUUCAGAUUUUUUCAUGGGUGUAUGUGUAAUUAUCUCUUUUUAAUCAUAUGCUGUUGAUCAAAAUCCCACGAAACAUUCAUGGUACUGGUCCUGGAAUUCCAGGUUGUGUAUGAUGUGACAGACCAAGAGAGUUUCAAUAAUGUAAAGCAAUGGUUAAAUGAGAUCGACCGUUAUGCAAGUGAGAAUGUCAACAAGCUUCUUGUGGGUAACAAGUGUGAUCUUACAGCAAACAAAGUUGUGUCUUAUGAGACGGCUAAGGUAAUUUCAAUUUCUUCCCUCAUCCUUUUUCUGCUCUACACAUCGUUAACAUCAAAAAGGUCAAGAAUCCAUGUUAUAAGUUACUAAUGUAGAUAUAAUGAGACUUGGGUAUUUCAGUUAAAAAAGUGAUACCACCUCCAACUGCAAAAAUGAAAAAAAAACUUGAUUAGAAAUCCAUUUUAUCUGCCUACAAUUAGAGUUCCGUAGUUUUUAAAUUCCCCUCUUGAAAGGUCUUAUUGAAAUAUCUUGACUUAUCAAAAUCUACUCUUAAUCAGCUAAUCGCUUUUCAUUCGUAUAUUUAACAGUUAAUGUCAAUGCUGGCCUGUUCAAUUCUCAAUUUUCUGCUAGUUUUAAUUAGAUUUUGGUAGAAAGCGAUGCAAAAAGAUUUUUUAUUAUGGCUAACAACCGCUUGCAUGAGAUAUAUGCUGUUUAGGGUGUCUCUACUUCUCUUUUCUUUGUUAGGAGGAUUAAUUUUGAUGUUUUUUUUAAUUAUUUUGUCCCCUUCAGGCAUUUGCUGAUGAAAUUGGCAUUCCAUUCAUGGAGACUAGUGCAAAAAAUGCCACUAAUGUUGAACAGGCCUUCAUGGCCAUGACAGCUGCUAUCAAGAAUAGGUGCGCCAGCUAAGCAAGUUUUAUUUUGUAGAAAUUAUUCCUAUGUUUAGCUGCACUAUUAAGUUACUAGCUAAAAUACCUGAUUUGUGUAAUAAUUAUUAGGGUAAAUUGAAUUACCUGUUCCUGAACUUUUGAGUUAACUUUCAUUUUGGUCCUCAAAACUUUUGAUUUCAACUUUCAAGGCCCUAAACUGUUGGUGAAGUUUCAAUUUAGUCCCUAAACUCUGAACAAUGUUUCAUUUGUCCUUAGAGUAAUUAUCGCUAGCACUUAGUUCAUCUAUUUGUUUGUUCACCAUGAAUUCAUUGGUUUUUCAUCCAUUCAUACUUUCAUUCCAGAGGUCCAAUUCUUAUAUAGAGAAAAAUUAUAAAUCAGUGGAUGGUAGGGUUGAAAUAUGUGAUGGAAAAAGUAGUUAAUAAAUGUAUGGUGCAUAGAUGUACAAAUGCACUGGGUGUAGGCAACAAUUUAUCCUCCAAUAGUAAAUAUGUGUGAGGUUUAAAGUGAAAUUCUUUGAAGAGUUUAGGGACCCCUAACGUCGAAAUUGAAAGUGCAAGGACAAAAUGAAACUUGGCUGAAUGUUCGGGGAUUAGUGGUGCACUUUACCCAUAAUUGUUACACAAAGAUGUAUUCUUGAACUAUAGAUUGUUAAUCUUGGGGUGUGAAUUGCCCAGCUAACUCAUUGUUAGAUUUGAGAAAAUCCUCGAAGACAUUCAGAAUUUAACACUUCCCUUUGAAGUAGUUUCAGAUUAUUUGGUUAGGUCAUGGAAUAUUUUAUUAAGUUUCCGAAAGUUCUGUCUAGAAUGGUGCAGAGUCCUUUAGUUCUAUGGAGUUAUUCUGGUUUCAAGGAAUACGCUAGUUGAGGGGUUCAAAUUGAAGAAAUGAGUAGUUCAGGGACCCACUUCCAACUGACCUAUAUUUGGAGAUGAAUCCACAUGUAGUAUUCCAGCAUUUGGACUUUUCAUAGUCCUUGAAUUAAAAUAAAUUUGUACAUAGUCAUUUCAUAAGCUGACCUUUUGACCCUGUUUAAAGUAAAACUAAAAUAAGUUAGUCGUCAUUAUAUAGGUAAUGGGAUAAUAUAGUGUCUAUGAGGGGAAAGAAGAAAAAAUUAGAUUUUCAUGCGGUCAGGACUUGAGUGUGAUAUAUGUUGAAGUUCAGGGUACAAAUUGCUAUAUCGGGAUACUAGAGGAGCAAUCCAUACAUUGUACCCCUUGUUUUUUGCCGAAUCAAUAUGCUAAUAAUUUGUUCCACUAUUAACUCUCCAAAACUACCUGAUGCUAAUUUCAGGAUGGCGAGCCAACCGGCCAUGGGUAAUGCUAGGCCGCCUACAGUGCAAAUCCGCGGCCAACCCGUCAACCAGAAGACCUCCUGCUGCUCUACUUGAAGCUUCUCUAUGCUCACACUGGCGUGUAAACACAUCUUCCGCUUCCAUGUUCAGUCUCUGUUUUAUUUUCUUCUUAGAUACUGCUCUUGUUUCUCUUAUUCUUUUAUUAGUAUUUGCUGUUUAGUUCUUAAAGGAACAGGGAUUUCUGAAGUAGUAAUGUGUUCCUCUGAAACUGUGCUGCUCGUUUGUUCGUAUUUGCAUUCUUUAAUUAGACAGUUUCUUCUGCAGGAAGUUCUAUCUUACCUUCUAAUGAGUUGCAUCGCAAUCUUCGGUCCCUACCAUUAAGUUUCAACUUUCAACCUAUUCCUAAAUCUUUCGAGCAUAAGCAUUUGAUACUCGCAUUUGUGUGGCUACAGCAUGUCACAUUGCCAUUGGUAGCUUUAAGCUGUGCUGGCAUUUUCAUUAGUUGGUAGAACAGGUGUUGGGCGAGAUGACUAUCAUGAUAGAAUUGGAUAUUUGGAUUGUAUUAGUAGAUAUAUGCUUAAACAGGAGGACUACAUUAUUAGACUUUAAAGAAUUCGAGGACUUAUGGUUCAAUUUGCGAAAAAACCUCUUUAACUAAGGAUCAAGCAAAUGUAGUAUCUGUAAUCGGAAGUUUGAAGCUCGAAGUUGACUCAAGUAUCAUGUCAAAUUUGCAAAACAGGGCUACCAUCUACAAAAAGUAAUGCUAAAGCUUACAAACAUCAUACAUAUUUUUACAAAUAUUACAAAUACAUAGUUCUGAACGGUUGGAUUUAUUACUUCGGUUUUGUGAUUCGUGAACAUCUAUCAUUGAACUAUAGCCACCUUAGCAUGUUUGUAUUUGUUUGCUAGUGUUUAUUACCAUGGUAGAGUACUAAUCUACAAAUUUUGGCUGAGCUGCAUUUACCCUGAGCUUUUUCUAAUAAGCAAAGCAAAUGAUCUUUGAGUUGUUUAUCAUUGUGCCCGUGUUUAACUAAAUUGCUUGAUCAAGUACUACUCUUUGGGCCCUGAAGAUUCGUGCAUUCAAGAGAUGUUUUAGUUUGUAACUUACAUGAUGCUUGUGUUAGUGUACGCUCAUGUGGUGGUUUAGCUUGUAACUCAUGAACUGGUGUUGGUAUAAUAUUAUAAAACUCAUGAACUGGUGCACCACGAUGACGGAUCGUUCUGAGACCAUGAAAUGGCUGAAAUGUGAAAGGUGCUUUUUAUAGAUGCCUGUAGGUCUCACGCGCACAGCGAAAGCUGUGUUUAUUAAAAAGCUGCAUGCGUGUCUCGAAACAGACUAGAAUGUGAUGACCCUUGGACAAUAAUAUAUUAUAUUCAUAACAGUUUUGCAUUAUAUAACUUGAAAAUUGAGGGAUGUUCUUUUGCUCGAAAGUGGCUGUUGCCAGAAGUUUUUCAUUUCCCGCCGUUUGUGUUACUUAAAAAGAGAAAGAUUAAAUUUUAUUUUGCGCCCUUGUGAUCUCGCUUAAUUUUAUUUUGCCAUGAAGUGGUUCAAAAGUUGCACUUGAAUAUUUUGUAGUAUAACUCAUUUUUGUUUUGUCAUUCGGUGAUUCAAUAUAUUUAACUCUAUUGUGGUUAUUAAAAAGUUUUUAUUUUGCUAUUCUAUUAGACAGUAGAUUUUUUUAGAUAAAAGUAGAGAUAAAAUUGCAGAGCAGCAGUUAACGGCAAUUUUUUUUAACCGCGAAGCGGUGAAGUAAAAAUAAAUUGAACCGUCAGGGGCAGAAUUGAAGUUUAUCUAAAAAAUAAUAAUAAUAAGAUAAGCAUUAGCGAGGAUGCUACAUUAUUCAUGUGUAAUAGAAAAUUGGACAACUUCCACGUUUGAACCAUGUUUUGGUUUUGGUUGGUUCCCUCUCUCGAUCAAACCUUCCUCAAUUAUUACAAUUGAGUCGUUGACGUCUCGAUGGGGCAACGAUUUUGACUUUUUCUUAUAUAUAUAUAUAUAUAUAUAUAUAUAUAUAUAUAUUUACAUUUACUUAGCAGCCAAUUCCCCCAAGUUUCUAUAUGGUUUGUACUUGGAUAUCUUAACUAGUAGACCACGAGUGGUUUUCAUACAUAUAGAUAAUAUAUCCACCAUGGAGUAGUGCCAACCCAAUCGCCAUUGAAGUAAACAAUCGAAACACAAAUGAGGAAAGCACCCGUUUAGUUCGUGAUUUGUAAUAUGUAAGAUAAUUUUUUUUUUUAUGCUUUUUAUUGAAGAUAUUCAAUUAUUAUCAUUCAACUCAAAUACAAUAGUGAUAAAUGGUAUUAAUUUUGAGGCGGUAAAAAUACUAGAUUAUCCUGAUAUAAGAAAUAUUCUUAUUUUUAUACUUGAUAGAAAUUAUUAGUAAUACAUUAAUAAAAAAUAUUAAAUUUUUCUACAAUCUUUCAAUCCAAAUGACUUGAUAAAUUAGUAAUAAACUCGGCAUUCCAAAAAUAAAAUAUAUAAUUAUUUAUUUCUGAAAUGUUACAACUCUUCUUCAACCAAAAAAGUCGGGUUACAUGGUACUACUUGUGUGGUUCUUACAUGGACACAUCCCCCCUCUUUUAUUUCACGAGGAGAGUAGAAAAAGGUUGGGGACCAAAUUUUUACAAUUAAUUGGGGGGCCGAACUAGAACCUACGAUUAGAAAAAAGGUGGGGCAAUUUUACAUUUAAUUGGGGGGGGGGGGGGGGGGGGGGGGGGGGCCGAUUUUAGAAGGCUGGGGAUGUACCUGUGCAAUUUCUCAUAGCAAUAAUCGCUCACAUAACAUAACAUUACCUUUUUUCUUCAUAAAUCUUGUGUUUUUUUUUGCCUCAUUCAAGGUUAAAAAGGCAAUAGCAGCCCCCAAAUGUACAACUCAAUAUGAAACUCCUGCUUUUGCUCCACAGAGAAGCCAAAAAAAAAAAAAAAAAAAAAAAAAAAAACUGUUUAUGCAUUUUGAACAGUUUUUUUUUUUUUUUGGAACAAUAUAUCUAUUAGAUAACUCCAACGGGUACCAACCAAACAAGCCGUUUUUAAGUUCAAAAGAUCUCCUCCCCUUCUGAGCGCAAAAAUUAUUUCUGUAUUUUACAAAAUUUUCAAAUUCAACUUAUCGUCAUGUAGUUAUUUUAGGUUUCUGAAUAUGUUGGCUAUCCAGUUUGUAAGUUUUCGCUGCUCUCUAAUUUCAAGACAACUAUUUCUACCAACUCCCAUCAAUCGCAGUAAAAGCUUUCUUUCGCAUUCACCCACAUCAAUUUUUGUUUUUGUUUUUCUUAGAGAAAUAAAUGGAUCUCUUGGCAGAUUCUAUUGCAAGCACAGACAAGUGAACAACCUCUCCUCAUCCACACAUGUAGCUUUCCUUCAAAAGUUGGAAAAAUGUAGUUGGCCCCUCCCCACACCUCAUCCUCCACCUCCACCACAACCCCCCAGGAAGAAAAUCUCAAGCUGGGGCCACCACCCACAUCACAAUACAAGACAAAUCAUUCAAAGACAUCAAGAGCCCACAACCACAUAGGCCUCUUCUCCCCACUGUUUCUUCAGAUGGGAACAACAAGCAAACCCUAUUUAUGGACAUAGAGGCCCCCUCCCCUCCAUCCUCUUCUCUCCUCCAUUUCCUCCACACAUUCCACUAGGAAUAAGGACAUAUUUCAGGCACAGCAGUUACUGCUUUUACCAAAAUUAGUGACACAUACAUAUACAUACACACAUAUAGAUUGGAUGAAGCUCUUGUAUUCUCAACUGAAACAUUACCCAUAAAGUAGUGGUACAUAUGACUUGUCUCAUAGCAAGAAGCAGCACUGGAUAUAAAUGGGUGAAUUUAGAUCACACUUAUAGACAGUUUGGCCAGGUUGUGUGGCUGCGGCGGCGCGAUGGUGAGCUCCAAAUCACUUCCCUCACUUGAUAGAGACUCUGAAGAGGAAUUAUUUGGGUAAUGUGUGUGAUCUAAGGAUAAUUUGAGGAGAUCAGGAGAUGAGCUGGCCUCGAACAUUGUGAUCGUCCGAUCCAAAAAUUUGCCGACUCGAGGGGACUUCUUCGGUAUGGCUUGAUCUUUCGUGCCAGCAGACAAGUCCAACUGUGAUAGAAUAUCUUAAUUUUGUCGGCUAUUGCGAGGAAGGAAGCAGAAAAAAAAAAAAAAAAAAACAAGUAAAAUAUGCGCAUACGCAUUAGGUCAAGGACAACAAUAGUGUAUUUACCGUGAGCUUCGUCAUUAGAGGCGAGAUUGUGGAGGUUUCUAGACUUGGAGAUGCAAUCUGGGUCGAUGCGACGAGAGUUGAUCCCACGAUCUGCAGAUUAGUCGAGAAAAUUUGUGCAGAGUUAGUUUGUUCGUAUUGCAGAAAAGUUUUGAGAUUAUAUGAAACUUAUGCGGGAGGAAUACCGAGUUCUGUUCCAGGUCAAGAUGGCUGAUCUCUUCCUUCGGAGAAAUUGGUGGAGUUUCAGAGUUGACAGACUGAGGAAACAGAGAAUAAGUAUGAAAAAUCGAACUAACCGUAGAAUUACUUGGAGAAAAAAACAAAAGAGCAAUGGCAAAGUAAGUCCUUGAAACUUGGCACCGAUUUCAGCUACGUCCUUAAGAGUUCCAAUCUUAACAACUAAGUUUACGAUUGGUACACCCAUUAGUUUACUAUUUGGAAGAAAGACAAUCCGCCAGCAUCAUCGUUAUCGAUGUGGAAUGGUACGGUAAGCUACACUAGCAGCAAAACCUGAUUACUAAAUGAAUUGUUAAAAUCGGAUUUAGGACAGAUUUCAACUUGAAAUAUCAAUUCAGAGGAAAAAGUAAAAUCCAACAACGCUAAAGUGCAAAGAUCCAUUCAAAUAACGGAUGAUGUUGAUUACUUGAUCGUGAAUCACGACAUCGAAGAGGCUAGACCGGCGAUUCUUCUUGCUAGGGUUGUUUUGCCUGAGGAAGUACUUCUGGGCGUGGCUGGCCACCUGCGUCGGAGUUCGUGUGGUCACGAAGUUCCUCGAGAUCCCUCUCCAGUCGCCCUUGCCCAGCUUCUCCAGCCCGGCCAAGAAUGUUCUAUGUUCUUCCUCUGUCCAUGGAACCCCUACGGAAAAGAUACAUCUUGAUUCUCUAGACCCCCUUUGGAGAAACUUAUAUAUGCUUCAAACUAAUCAUUGAUGAAAACAUGUUUAACAGAUGCAGCAAAUUAGCUUCGGAGUUCAAAGAGUCCAAUAACAUGCAGGGAAUAUAUAACAUGAUAUUUAGGACGAAUAUAUAAUCGAACAAGUUUCACAAAGCAAAUGUGCUACUUUAAGAAAGAAAAAAGGAACAUUUUCCGAAAUGAAAAAGGAUAUGAAGGACCAUGCACAAGCAUAUUUUUACCAGUUAUGAACAUUUCAAAAUGGACAGGAGAGCCAAAUCACCACUUCAAGUACACCUGAACUUGUGCAAACAUUUUGGUGUCAUGUGAUGGAUAAAACGCAUGAAUAAUGUUAAAUUUCCAGAGCAUAUUUCCCUGAUUCAAUUACCACUUUGCGUAAUAUCAGAUGCUGUGACAUGAAUGAACAGAGUUUCUACAAUAAAAUUAGAAUUUACACUAUUAAUUGCUCAAAAAAAGGUUUGCAGAUAAAAAAAGGAAGCAAUAGAAAAAAAAAAAAAAAAGAAAAGAAGAGGAAAUAAGCCAUCUGAAUUCAGGGAGUGCUUGGUUCCGCAGAAAAUAUCCCAGAAAACAACUUUCUGACUGAAAAAGUAUUUUCCAUUCGUUCGGUCCCUAGAAAAAGUAGUUUUUCUUUUUUCGAGAAAAUGAAAUUUGUGUAAAAGUGUUUUUCAUAGAAAACUUUUUAUCCGGAAAAUAGUUUUUCGGGACACUUUGAGGAAUCAAAUGCCACAUCAGAGUUACAAUCUUGACAUUACUUAGAAACGGAUUUCUUAUCGUUGCCGACGGAAUUUUCCUGCAUUAAAUCCUCCCGUCGCCAGUUCGGCAUUCAGAGAAAUCAGAUAAUUGAGAAAAGAAAAUUCUGAGCAGUUGAUUGUGUUGUAAGAAAAAUACAUAGCCGUUGUGUCUUUCAUCAAUUUUUAGACGUAACAAAAAGUUAUAAACACAAUAAAUAAUUCAUAAAAAAAAAUACUUAAAUUAGUCAAUUGAUUAUAUGCUAUAAUUUUGUACAUGACAUUGAGAAUGAAUGUAAAAAAGGAAAAGAAAAAAGAAAAAAAAAAAGGGUCUUAAUAAUUGAUUUCACCUCUCUUCCUCUCGUGGCUCCGCCGCCUCCGCCUCUGCCGCAGCGGCGAGGCGUCGACGAUGCCGCAGUCGGAGUGGUAGCCGAGAUGAUCAAGGCCGUCGGCGGCGUGAUCGACGGCGGGGGCUGCGGCGCCGGCUGCGGCGCCGGCGCCGGCGCCGGCGCAGGACGCGAGAUUCCCCAUGCUCGCGCUCUUCCGCAUCACCUCGUCCUCGUCCUCCUCCCCUCCCCCUCCCCCUCCCUCGCCCCAUAUCCUCACCCCGAAGAGCUUCACCUCCGCCAUGGCCGUGCCCGAGGCCGAGCGCGAAUCUUGAUGAAUCCNUCUUCUCUUAAUAUGAUGAUUUUUUUUUUAUUUUUAAAUAUAUAUAUAUAUUAUUAUAUAUUUUUGGAGUCGUUGAUUGGUUUAGCAAUAAGAGAGAGAGCGAACGGAUUGGACGAAGAGGUCUACGGGUGGUAAAACAUAUAUAUAAUGGAUCGAUUGCUCAUACAAACAAACGCCCCUGGAAUUAGGGUUUAUUUACGAUGAAUGCCAUUACAGUUGAGUUGAGGAACUGCUUGCGUAAGCAUGACGUAAGGAGACGGCUAAUUUUGCUCCCCUGUGCGAGAACAAGCGUCCCCGCGACACACUACUCUAUAUUUUCAUCCGCCUUUUAAUUAAAAUAAAAUAAAAAUUAUUAUUAUUAUUAUUAUUAUUAUUAUUAUUAGGCUAAUUUGCAUAAAAAAUCAACUAGUAUUGAACUUUUGCAAAAGUAGACCAUCUUUUUUUGUUUUUACAAAUUCGAUUCGAUUUUUCAACAAACUGAUCAAAAUAUCUUUAUAUAUUUUUCUCUCGUUCUUUUUUUUCUUUCUCUUUUCAGAGAGCGGCGGAGACCGAGACGGCCCGCUUCGAUUUUGUCCGGCGCAUUCUUACCCUUGCUCGCGCUCUUCCGCAUCACCUCGUCCCCUACACUACUCUAUAUUUUCAUCCGCCUCUUUCUUAAAAUAAAAUAAAAAAUAUUUAUUAUUAUUAUUAUUAUUAUUAUUAUUAUUAUUACAUUAAUCUCCUACUGAAUAUUUGGUUUUGGCAUCCAAAAAUACAAAAAAAAAGGAGACGUUUGAUCUUAUUGCUCAUUUUUAUUUAAAAUAUUUUUUUCAUAUAUUUUAAUCCGUGAAUAUUUUUUUUUCUUUUUUUUUCCCUAAGAUACGUUCUAGUGAAUUGAUAAAUAAUAUUUCAUUUAAGACAACUAUACAAGCCAAAAAAAAAUUUAAAUUUUUUUUUAUUGCCAAAUAAAUAUCUUGGAUGUAAAGAUGGCGAGCAAUUUAAUUACCAUUCAUUUCUACACUAUUUUAUAUAAAAAAUCUAUUUAAAAAAUAAAAAUUGAUAAUAAUACCAAACGAAACCUUAGCUCAAAACUCUUUUGCGCAUCUAAUUAAUAAUAAAAUGUAUUUUGAUCGCUCAAUUGGCUAUCAGAUGAAUGUCGAGAUGUUCUUAGAAUAUUUUAUCUAUGAAGCUCUAUCCAAGGAUCGAGCUCUAGAAAUAAGGUGCGGAAAAUCAACAACUAUUUAUUAAGAAAAAACUUAAAAUAUCGUUCCUAUAGUUUCAUACUUUUUUAUUUUAAUAUCCUGCGAUUUAAGGCGUAUCAAUUUAGUACCCGUGAUUUUAUUUUUCUCUUUUCAUUAUUUCUUUUACUAAUUUUUUUUGGUUAAAUCAGUGACAAAGUUAAAAAACUAAAAGGUACUAAAUUGAAUACUCGAUAAAUCUAUGUGGGGUAUUUGAAGUUUUUUCUAUAUGAUUUAACGAAAUUUUAACGAAGAGGCUGAUGAAAGGAGAAAAAUGAAACCACACGAUACUAAAUUGAUACACUUUAAAUCACACGGUACUAAAGUGAGAAAGUGUGAAACCACAUGGGUGAUAUUUAAAAUUUAACAAUAAAAAAGGAUAAAUUUCAAAUACCCCCUUGUGGUUUCACAUUUUCUCCCUUUAGUAUCUUAUGGUUUAAAGUGUAUAAAGUUAACUCCUGUGGUUUCGCACUUUCUCACUUUAGUACUCUAUGGUUUAAAAUGUAUCAAGUUAGCAUUCUGUGGUUUCAUUUUUCUCUUUUUAUUAUUCAUUUCACUAAUUUUUUUCGUUAAAUCAGUCACAAAGUUAAAAUUAAAAGGUACUAAAGUAAAUAUUCGAUAAACCUAGAUAAGGUAUCUGAAGUUUUUUGUAUAUAAUUUAACGAAGUAUUAACGGAGGAAAAAAAAUCAAUGACAAAAUUAAAACUAAAGGAUACUAAGGUAAAUAUUCAAUUAACCUAGAUAGGAUAUCUGAAGUUUUUUGUAUAUAAUUUAACGAAAUAUUAAUAGAGGAGUUGACGAAAGUGAAAAAUGAAAUCACAUGAUACUAAAUUGAUGCACUUUAAACCACAGAAUACUAAAGUGAGAAAGUGCGAAACCACAACAUACUAAAUUGAUAUACUUUAAACCGCAGAAUACUAACGUAAAAAAGUGCAAAAUCAUAGGAGUGGUAUUUAAAGUUUUUCAUAAAAAAUAAAUAAACAGGUGGUAAGAUCACCGACGUAGUGACCACAUCACUAUUUCUCGGCAAAAUUAUCCCUCCCACAAGCAACAACCGAAGAUCCUGAUCCCGUCCGUACGGACAUUAGUUUCCGGGGCCACUGCAACCCCUCGCUCUAAAAUUUUCUUACAAAUUAACCCUCAAAAUAGGGGUUAAAUUUCGAGAAUGCCAUCGAACUUUUAUAUAUUGUAACCCAAUUGUUUGGUAGCUAGAGCGAGUGACAUCAUUGGGAGUUUACAUGUGGUUGAUGUGUUUUAGGAGGAAUUCUAUACUAUCACACUUGCACCGCGUUAUUAAUAAUAAAUCAAUUACAUUUUUUUAAAAAAAUAAAAGUACAAUAAAAAUAAUAUUUUACAAUCAUAAUAGAACAUAUACCCCUAAAAGGAUACAUUUGAUUGAUUUGUUACGCUACGUCACCAAUAUAUCCAUUGCAUACUAGAAUUUUUCGUGUUUUAGAGUGUACGUAUAUAAUAUUAAUUAAUAAUUUUUGUAUUAUAGUGUAAAUUAUAUAUUAUAUAUAUAUAAUAUAUAUAUAUAUAUAUAUAUAUAUAUAUAUAUAUAUAGAGUGAGGCUACUAUGCUAUCGGAAGCACGGAGCCUUCCGUGCUUCCACCUCGUUUUCGAUGUUGCGACUUUCGAAUCGUCGAUCGGCUCCGUUAAACUUGAUUAGAGUAUUUGGAGCACCUAGAAAAUAAAUUUUAUAUUUUCGAUAUUCAUUUGCCUAGUGAUCGAAUGGGCUCAAAAUCAACAAAUUUCAAUAGCCGUAGUGAGCUGUUUGUAAGUUUAACAGUGUAAAAAUAUUCAAUCAUGUGAAAUUUUGAUAGAAAAUUAUUUAUACUAUAUAAACAAGAUCAAUAUCUUUGAUUUAAAAUUAUAAUGUCAUAUUAUUACAUUUUGUAAGAUUUUUAUUUUCAGCCGUUGAUUUUGAGCCCCUUCAUUCACUAGGCAAAUGAUAUCGUAAAAUCAUAAAAUUUAUUUUCUAGGUACUUCAAAUACUCUAGAUCAAGUUUAACGGAGCCAAUCGACGAUUCGAAAGUCGCAACAUCGAAAAAAGGUGGAAGCACGGAAGGCUCCGUGCUUUCCGAUAGCAUAAUAGCCGUCAACUCUAUAUAUAUAUAUAUAUAUAUAUAUAUAUAUAUAUAUAUAUAAAACAAUACUCUACCAUGAGAAGGAAUUUUUGGGUAAAUUAUGUGGAAGGAUCCAGAUCUUUUAGUCAGGUUUCAAAUGGACUCCUCACUUCUAAUUCUUGCAGUUAUGUCCUUAAUUUCUUCUAAUUGUUUAAUUGAAUCAUUGCCAUCUAAGGCCGACAAACUAGCUUGCUGUUCUUAAGCUUGUUCAACUCGAAAUAAACUCGAUAUUGAAUCACUGGUUUAAUAAACGCUCGAUAUCUUAACGAGCCGAAUAUAAGCCGGAGUCAGCUCACUCGUGUUUGACUCGAUAUUGCUCGAAUGCAUAUACUUUUAUAUAUUAUUUUUAUUGUAUUUAUAUAUACAAUUACACAUAAAAAUUUUUACUGUUGAAUUUUGGCCCAACAAAAAUGUAAAGAGGCCCGUUUAUUUGUAGGAUUUCAACUAUUAGAUCGAGAUAUAUGUAACCGGUAUUAUUUUAGGAUUCUAUUUCACGUAAAAAAAUUAUAAUAAUAACUUUUAAAAUUAAUCAAUUUGAGUUUUAAAUUUGGAGCUGUAAAUGAUUUGAGUUGUAAACAAGCUAGUUCAGCCUGGUGAGCUAAUCAAAGCUAAUGAGCCAAACACAAGCUAGCUCGUUAAAUUGCGAUUUGAUCACGACCUAAGCUUUUUCGAUUCAUCAGGAGCUCAGGCCGAACACGAGCUAGCCUCUAAAAAUUUCAAGUCGAUCUCUAGUUGGCCCCAGCUCGCUUGUUUCGGCUCGUUGACAGCCUUAUUCCCAUUUUAACAUUUUUAAUUUAGAUAAAACUUGCCACUUUAGUAACGACCUAGUAUGGUUAAAGUUUAAACACUGAUUCUUACAAAUCAUAUAAUAAAUAGGGAUAAUUGCCUAUAUACCUCUCAAAACUUUAGAAAUAUCUCAUUUAUCUUUACUUCUUUUUUUUUUCGUUCCAAUAUAUCUCUCAUAUGUUCCUCCGUUAUUUCAAAAUACCUCUAAAGUUAUCAUCCCUUAAGUUAACUUGGGUUAGACGUUAGUUAAAUAUCUACUAGAGUUAAAAAAAAAUCAAAAUGCCUUUUUAACCUUAGCUUAAGGGCAAAUAAGAAAUGCUGAUGAUGAUAGAAGAGUAUAUUUGAAAAUAUCAAAAAUCAAAAUACUUUUUGUACUUCCCACUUAAGGACAAAUAAGAAAAGUAGGUAACGGUGGAAGGGUAUAUUGGAAAGGGCAAAAUAGUAAUUUCAUACAGAUAACAGUUAUUGCUAAUAGUUUAUUAACAAAAUUUAACUCUUGGGGUAUAUUUGAAAUAUGUUGGAUUGUAAAAAGAGUAUUUUCAAUAAUACCCUUCUAAAAGGGAUAAAUCAGAAAGUCGGAAACUUUUUUUAGGUAUAUAAGCAAUUGCCACUAAUAAAUAUUUGUUUGCAGUAUAUUUUAGAAGCUACUUUAUGCCUAGAUAAUAAUAGAUUCUCAAAAUACGAGUAGGCUACUAUACUCUUACGAGUAUAGAACCUUUCGUACUCAUAAGUUAUUUUUUAUGUUGAAAAUUUCGAAUGGACAAUCUACACUGUUAAACAUGAUCUAGAAUAUUUAAAAUUUUUAGAAAAUAAAUUUUGUAAUUUUUGAAAAUUAUUAUAAAGUUCAUCAAGCAAGUAUAAAAUGAACGGUCAAAAUCGAACGACAUCCUAAAAAUGGAUGAUCGGAUCCUUCAAUUUAAGAUCGGAGUUAUUGAUCUUACCUAGGUAGUGAAUAGAAUUUUUUAUCAAAAAUUCAACCUAUUCUGAUUCUUUUAUACCGUUAAACUAGCAAGUUUCCCAUACCGGCUGUUAAAAAUUUUCAAUUUUGUGAGUUUUUGAUCGUAAAGUAAAUGAUAUCGAAAAAUUAUAAAAUUUGAUUUCUAAAAGUUUUAAAUGCUCUAAAUAAUGUUUAACGGUAUGGAUCGUCGAUUAGGAAGCUCUAUCAUCGAAAAAAUUUAUGAGUACGAAGAUAAUCGUACUCAUAAGAGUAUAAUAGCCGGACUCCUCAAAAUACAUAAUAUCUUAUACAUAAACUAAACUCUUCAGAUAUAUUCACAAAUGAUGGUUAUCGGGGUAUAUUAUAAUUUUUACAUAUUGAUCGUCAAAUUUUAGGUAUAUAUGUUACAUAAAAUGUACGUAUUUCAGAAAAUAAAAGUAUAUAUGAUUAGAGAAUAUGUAAAAACUCAAGAUUAGGGACCUAACUGGAAAUAUUAGAAGGCUAGGAACUCAAUUGAAAUUAUUACAACAAUUUGAUGCAUGGUUUGUAGGGAUUGGCAAUCCAGCUCGCUGUUCGUGAGUGUUUUUUUUUUUUUUUUUUUUUUUUUUUUUUUUUUUUUGAGCGAUAGAUAGCACGAUGUUCGUGAGUGUUGAUACCAAAAAAAAUUAACACAUGCCGAUCUAACCCACGUAUGAGGCAAAGAAAUAAGGACACGUGGUACACCAGGAGUCGGCAAUAAGACGUCUGAAGGUUAAGAGCGUUUAGGAUGGAACGGUUGAGAAGUGUGGUGUAACUUCCAUGAGAAGUGGGCCAUAACUUUCAUGAGAAGUGGGGUGUAACUUUCAAGAUCAUGCCUACACCACUUCCCCCACUACUAAAAACCAUUCAAUAUUGUAGGCUGAGAAUAUAUUACUAUAAAUAGUAACUUCAAAGCCUGUAAUAGGGGUCUUUCUCUCCCCUGAACGAGAAGAUCACCGCAUUUUCAUAUCUUUUCUUUUCUGUAUUUACUGCUUUCCUACGAGUAGUUUUUAAGAUAGAUCUCUAGAGUCUGUGUGCCCCACGGGCACACUCUGUUGUAAACUAUAUUUUCAGAGUCUGUAUGCCCUUCGGGCACACUCUGUUAUAAACUAUAUUUUCAGAGUCUAUAUGUCCUUUGGGCACACUCUGUUUUAUUAAUAUACAAAGGUAUUCGGCUCUUUCAGCCGACCAUACUUUGUGUUUUCAUCUAUUCGACUCUUUAGCCGACUCUAGUUUCUGUGCAUUCUAUACAUUCGGCUCAUCCAACCGAACGAUUCUAUAGUAGAGAUUUCGAACCCGGCUGAUCCGAUCCCUCAUCAGCCGAAUCGUUUGAUCAAUCGAAGGGCGCAAACUUCGAGGGUCAUUAUCCGAAGCCGUUUUCACCUCGACAGGCUCCCCGAGGAGGACCUUUGACCGCGUCGAGGGUCAGGGAAAAUUUGGCUACGAACAGUGAGCGAGCUCAUGUUCUCGAGAUUGAAUCGCUUGUUUAUUAAACGAGCCGAAUACGAACUGAAUUUUUUAAUUUGUUUAAAUAACGAACCGAAUAUGAACUGGGAUUAGCCCGCUCAUGUUCGACUCGAUAACAUCUCGAAUAUAUAUAUUUUAUAUUCAUAUAAUUUAUAAAAAUAAAUAAUUAUAUAUAUCAAAUAUAAAUUUUUAUUAUUUGAUUUUUAGUGUAAUAUAAAGAUAAAACGAAACUCAAUUAUAAAAAAACUCAUUUCUAUAUUAAUUUAAUACUUGUAUCAAAAUCUAAUGGCGUAAGAUCAAAAAAAAAU